rnacentral:rRNA from 1 species
UGCCUACGGGAGGCAGCAGUGGGGAAUAUUGGGCAAUGGACGCAAGUCUGACCCAGCAACGCCGCGUGAAGGAAGAAGGCUUUCGGGUUGUAAACUUCUUUUAAGGGGGAAGAGUAGAAGACGGUACCCCUUGAAUAAGCCACGGCUAACUACGUGCCAGCAGCCGCGGUAAUACGUAGGUGGCAAGCGUUGUCCGGAUUUAUUGGGUGUAAAGGGCGUGUAGGCGGGAAUGCAAGUCAGAUGUGAAAACUAUGGGCUCAACCCAUAGCCUGCAUUUGAAACUGUAUUUCUUGAGUGCUGGAGAG